rnacentral:rRNA from 1 species
CCUACGGGGGGCAGCAGUGGGGGAUAUUGCACAAUGGGGGAAACCCUGAUGCAGCGACGCCGCGUGGGUGAAGAAGCGCCUCGGCGCGUAAAGCCCUGUCAGCAGGGAAGAAAAUGACGGUACCUGAAGAAGAAGCCCCGGCUAACUACGUGCCAGCAGCCGCGGUAAUACGGAGGGGGCGAGCGUGAUCCGGAUUUACUGGGUGUAAAGGGGGCGCAGACGGCGAUGCAAGCCAGGAGUGAAAGCCCGGGGCCCAACCCCGGGACUGCUCUUGGAACUGCGGGGCUAGAGUGCAGGAGGGGCAGGCGGAAUUCCUGGUGUAGCGGUGAAAUGCGUAGAUAUCAGGAGGAACACCGGUGGCGAAGGCGGCCUGCUGGACUGCAACUGACGUUGAGGCCCGAAAGCGUGGGGAGCAAACAGGAUUAGAUACCCUAGUAGUC